CAAAUGGAGCUAUUGCCUCCUCAAUUGAGUGAGGGGAAUGGGAACAAGAGAAACCUUGUGGUUGUUUCAGUUGAAAAUGAAAGCAAACCACAUUUCUUGACCUUUCUGUUUGAUAUGGAUCUCUAACUAAUAAAUAACUUUUUGUUUAGGAGCUCUUUUUUGCUCAAUUUAGUGUCCAAUGCAGCAAGCGGUAGUAGAGAAGAACAUAAUCAUUCUGCAGCAUAUUUUUCUAUUUCUACUAUACAGAAGAGCGAAGUAAGGGAUGACCACUGGCAAUGUCAUAAAUAUGCUCAUCUUCAAGGGUAAUAUAUUUUUUUUUAUACUUACUGAGUUUUAGCCAUCCACAUACUUGGUCUUUCUUUUCGCUUCUAGAGCUUUCUCUCUUUCCCCUCACAUCUAUAUUAAGGGAGAAUGAGAUGACUCAAGCAAAGAAGUAGGCAAGGUGAUCUUCUUCUUCAUUAUGCUCAAGUUCUGUAAUUGUUGGUGAUCUUCUUCUCCAUUAUGCUAAGUUAGGUAAUUGUUGGUAUUUACUAUCAAGAUGAGCUUGGAAUCCUAUGCCCUAGCUAGAUUAGGAUAACUGUUUUUGACAAUUAUAAAGGAUGUGGCUGAGGUGUUUGACGAAAAUUCAAAGAGAAAAGACAGAUUCUUUCAUCAGCAAUCUUCGUGUUUGAUAUUCUUCUUGAAAAAUGAAAAUCAAUUCAGAAGUAAAAGAAAACUCCUUAAUUUUGGUUAAGCAACGCACCGAGACUAUGCUUAGAUGGUUCUUACUUCUCACCAAGGCUAAUGAUUACAUCUCUUAUGCGUUACUGCCUGGUGAGGUGACUAUUUGGAGUAGAAACAUGCUCGACAACGGCUAAAAGUUUUACAUUAUGGUUUAUAUGCUUCUGUAGCAGGAGUAGAGGAUUAGAGGAAGAGUCUAAAGCAAGAUGC